rnacentral:rRNA from 1 species
UACGUAGGGUGCAAGCGUUAUCCGGAAUUAUUGGGCGUAAAGAGCUCGUAGGCGGUUUGUUGCGUCGGCUGUGAAAUCCCGAGGCUCAACCUCGGGUCUGCAGUCGAUACGAGCAAACUAGAGUGUUGCAGGGGAGACUGGAAUUCCUGGUGUAGCGGUGAAAUGCGCAGAUAUCAGGAGGAACACCGGUGGCGAAGGCGGGUCUCUGGGCAACAACUGACGCUGGAGGAGCGAAAGCCGUGGGGAGCGAACAGG